UAACCUGUCCCAAACACUGAACACUCUACAACAUGUAUACUGUCCCCAAACACUGAACACUCUACAGCUCAGCAAGCUAUACCCGUCCCCAACACUGAAACUCUACACAGCUAUAACCUGUCCCAAACACUGAACACUCUACACAAGCUAGACCUGUCCCAAAACAAGAACCUCUAACAACAAGCUAUACCUGUCCCAACACUGAAACACUCUACACAAGCAUACGGUCCCCAAACACUGAAACACUCACACAAGCUAUACCUGUCCCAAACACUGAACACUCUAACAAGCAUAACCUUCCCAAACACUGAACACUCACACAGCUAUACCUGUCCCAAACACUGAAACAUCUACACAGCUAUACCUGUCCCAAACCUGAACUAACACUCUACACAAGCUAUACCUGUCCCAAACACUGAACACUCUACACAAGCUAUACCUGUCCCAAACACUGAACACUCUACACAAGCUAUACCUGUCCCAAACACUGAACACUCUACACAAGCUAUAACUGUCCCAAACACUGAACCUCUACACAGCUAUAACUGUCCCAACACUGAACACUCUACACAGCUAUACGGUCCCAACACUGAAACACUCUACACAGCUAUACCUGUCCCAAAACACCUGAACAACUCU
rnacentral:lncRNA from 1 species